CCUAGUUCUAACCAUAAACGAUGCCAGCUAGCGAUCCGGCUGUGUUCCUCAAAUGACACGCCGGGCAGCUUCCGGGAAACCAAAGCUUUUGGGUUCCGGGGGGGAGUAUGGUUGCAAAGCUUAAACUUAAAGGAAUUGACGGAAGCGCACACAAGGAUUGGGGCCUGCGGUUUAAUUUGACUCAACACGGUGCAACUCACUCGGCCCGGACACAGGAAGGAUUGACAGAUUAAGAGCUCUUUCUUGAUUCUGUGAUAGGUGGUGCAUGGCCGUUUCUGGUUGGUGGAGUGAUUUGUCUGCUUUAUUGCGAUAACGAGCGAGACUCUAACCUGCUAAAUAGACGCUGCGAUCCUUCUGAGUCGCACGCUCUUCUUAGAGGGACAGGCGGUGUUCAGCCGCACGAAAAAGAGCAAAAACAGGUCAGGAUGCCCUCAGAUGUUCGGGGCCACACGCGCGCCACAUUGAAGGAAUCAGCGUGUGCUUUCCCUGUCCGACAGGACUGGGUAACCCGUUGAACCUCCUUCGUGCUGGGGAUAGGAAAUUGUAAUUGUUUUCCUUGAACGAGGAAUUCCCAGUAAGCAUGAGUCAUCAGCUCGUGUUGAUUACGUCCCUGCGCUUUGUCCACACCGCCCGUCGCUAUUAUCGAUGAAUUUUGGAGUAAGAUCUUC
rnacentral:rRNA from 1 species